GCAUCGUCUCUCCGGCGACGG
rnacentral:miRNA from 1 species